GAUGAACGCUGGCGGCGUGCCUAAUACAUGCAAGUCGAGCGAACAGAUGAGGAGCUUGCUCCUCUGACGUUAGCGGCGGACGGGUGAGUAACACGUGGAUAACCUACCUAUCAGACUGGGAUAACUUCGGGAAACCGGAGCUAAUACCGGAUAAUAUAUUGAACCGCAUGGUUCAAUAGUGAAAGACGGUUUUGCUGUCACUUAUAGAUGGAUCCGCGCCGCAUUAGCUAGUUGGUAAGGUAACGGCUUACCAAGGCAACGAUGCGUAGCCGACCGGAGAGGGUGAUAGGCGACAUUGGAACGGAGCCAGGGUCCAGGCUCCUAAGGGAGGCAGCAGUAGGGAAUCUUACGCAAUGGGGGAAAGCCUGACGGAGCAACGCCGCGUGAGUGAUGAAGGCCUUCGGAUCGGAAAACUCUGUUAUUAGGGAAGAACAAAUGUGGAAGUAACUAUGCACGUAUUGACGGUACCUGAUCAGAAAGCCACGGCUAACUACGUG
rnacentral:rRNA from 1 species